rnacentral:rRNA from 1 species
UACGUAGGGUGCAAGCGUUAAUCGGAAUUACUGGGCGUAAAGCGUGCGCAGGCGGUGAUGUAAGACAGAUGUGAAAUCCCCGGGCUCAACCUGGGAACUGCAUUUGUGACUGCAUCGCUGGAGUACGGCAGAGGGGGAUGGAAUUCCGCGUGUAGCAGUGAAAUGCGUAGAUAUGCGGAGGAACACCGAUGGCGAAGGCAAUCCCCUGGGCCUGUACUGACGCUCAUGCACGAAAGGCGUGGGGAGCAAACAGG